CAGCAUCUCCAGGGCCUCCUCCAGCCCCUCUCCGACACCUCCGUGUCCUUCUGGGGCUGAGGAACAUCUUGUGCUUUAUUAGGUAUGAGAAAAGAGCAACUCCAUCUCUGGACGUUGCCUAAAGCAUGAUGGUGAUGAUGAUGAUGAUGAUGGUGGCCACCAUGAUGGUGGUGAUGGUGGUUGUGGUCGUGGUGAUGAUGGUGGUGGCCACGGUGAUGAAGGUCGUGGUGGUGACCGUGGUGGUCGUGGUGAUGAAGAUGGUGGCCAUGGCGAUGGUGGUGGCCAUGGGGGUGGUCAUGGUGANNNNNNNNNNNNNNNNNNNNNNNNNNNNNNNNNNNNNNNNNNNNNNNNNNNNNNNNNNNNNNNNNNNNNNNNNNNNNNNNNNNNNNNNNNNNNNNNNNNNNNNNNNNNNNNNNNNNNNNNNNNNNNNNNNNNNNNNNNNNNNNNNNNNNNNNNNNNNNNGGAGGGUCCUCGUUAAUUAGUGUGUAAUUGUGGGGGUCGGAAAGGGGGGGGGAUGGUGAUGGUGAUGAUGAUGAUGAUGGUGGUGGCCACCAUGAUGGUGGUGAUGGUGAUGGUCGUGGUGAUGAAGAUGGUGGUCAUGGUGAUGAAGACAGUGGUCAUGGUGAUGAAGAUGGUGGCCAUGGCGAUGGUGGUGGCCACGGUGAUGAAGGUCGUGGUGGUGACCGUGGUGGUCGUGGUGAUGAAGAUGGUGGCCAUGGCGAUGGUGGUGGCCAUGGUGGUGGUCAUGGUGAUGAAGACGGUGCCCAUGGUGAUGAAGAUGGUGGCCAUGGCGAUGGUGGUGGCCACGGUGAUGAUGCUCAUGGUGGUGACGAUGGUCAUGAUGACGAUGGUGGUCAUGGUGAUGAAGACAGUGGUCAUGGUGAUGAAGAUGGUGGUCAUGGUGAGGAUGGUGUCAUGACGAAGGUCAUAGUGGUGGUCAUGGUGGUCAUGGUGAUGAAGAUGGUGGCCAUGGCGAUGAUGGUGACAGUGGUGGUGGCCGCGGUGACGAUGGUCAUGAUGGUGACGAUGGUCAUGAUGACGAUAGUGGUCAUGGUGAUGAAGAUGGUGGUCGUGGUGAUGAAGAUGGUGGCCAUGGCGAUGAUGGUGACGGUGGUGGUGGCCACGGUGAUGAUGGUCAUGGUGGUGACGAUGGUCAUGAUGACGAUGGUGGUCAUGGUGAUGAUGGUCAUGGUGACAAUGGUGGUCAUGGCAAUGAAGAUGGUGGCCAUGGUGAUGAUGGUGACAAUGGUGGUGGCCAUGGUGAUGAUGGUCAUGGUGACAAUGGUGGUCAUGGCAAUGAAGAUGGUGGCCAUGGUGAUGAUGCUGACAAUGGUGGUGGCCACAGUGAUGAUGGUCAUGAUGACGAUGGUCAUGGCGAUGAAGAUGGUGGCCAUGGUGACGAUGGGCAUGAUGGUGAUGAUGGCCAUGAUGACGUUGGUGGUCAUGGUGAUGAAGAUGAUGGCCAUGGUGAUGAUGGUGACAAUGGUGGUGGCCACAGUGAUGAUGGUCAUGAUGACGAUGGUCAUGGCGAUGAAGAUGGUGGCCAUGGUGACGAUGGUCAUGAUGGUGAUGAUGGCCAUGAUGACGUUGGUGGUCAUGGUGAUGAAGAUGAUGGCCAUGGUGAUGAUGGUGACAAUCAUGGCGAUGCUGGUGACAAUGGUGGUGGCCAUGGUGAUGAUGGUCAUGGUGACAAUGGUGGUCAUGGCAAUGAAGAUGGUGGCCAUGGUGAUGAUGGUGACAAUGGUGGUGGCCACAGUGAUGAUGGUCAUGAUGACGAUGGUCAUGGCGAUGAAGAUGGUGGUCAUGGUGACGAUGGUCAUGAUGACGACGAUGGUCAUGAUGAUGAUGGUGGUCAUGGUGAUGAAGAUGGUGGCCAUGGUGACGAUGGUCAUGAUGGUCAUGAUGGUCAUGAUGACGUUGGUGGUCAUGGUGAUGAAGAUGAUGGCCAUGGUGAUGAUGGUGACAAUGGUGGUGGCCAUGGUGACGAUGGUCAUGAUGAGGAUCGUGCUCAUGGUGAUGAUGAUGGUGGCCCUGGUGAUGAUGGUGACAACGGUGAUGGUAGUGGUGGCCAUGGUGAUGGUGGUGACGAUGGUGACAAUGGCCGUGGUGGUCGUGGUGAUGAUGGUGGUGGCCACGGUGACAAUGAUGACGAUGAUGAUGAUGGUGACGGUGGUGACUUGGAUGCUGGGACUGAGCUCCAGGUGCUGGUGGCCCCUGCUCAUGGCCUUGGGGACCUCCAUGGUGUCAUGGCCUUGGGGACCUCCGUGGUGGUGUGACCCCAGGGAGCUCCAUGGGGUCAUGGCCUCUGGCUGGGUCCUUGGGGACCUCCGUGGUGUCGUGUCCUCCGUGGUGGUGUGUUCUUGGGGACCUCCGUGGUGUGGUGGCCUUGGGGACCUCUGUGAUGGCACAUCCUUGGGGUCCUCCAUGGUCUUGGGUCCUCGUGGACCUCCACGGGGUUGUCCCCUGAAGGUCCUUCAUGGUGCCACGUCCCUGGAGACUUCUUUGGUGCCACAUCCCUGGGGACUUCCGUGGUGGCACAUCCUUGAUGUCCUCCGUGGUAGUCGUGGUGAUGAUGGUGGUGGCCACGGUGACAAUGAUGACGAUGAUGAUGAUGGUGACGGUGGUGACUUGGAUGCUGGGACUGAGCUCCAGGUGCUGGUGGCCCCUGUUCAUGGCCUUGGGGACCUCCAUGGUGUCAUGGCCUUGGGGACCUCCGUGGUGGUGUGACCCCAGGGAGCUCCAUGGGGUCAUGGCCUCUGGCUGGGUCCUUGGGGACCUCCGUGGUGUCGUGUCCUCCGUGGUGGUGUGUUCUUGGGGACCUCCGUGGUGUGGUGGCCUUGGGGACCUCUGUGAUGGCACAUCCUUGGGGUCCUCCAUGGUCUUGGGUCCUCGUGGACCUCCACGGGGUUGUCCCCUGAAGGUCCUUCAUGGUGCCACGUCCCUGGAGACUUCUUUGGUGCCACAUCCCAUGGUGAUGAAGAUGAUGGCCAUCCUUGAUGUCCUCCGUGGUAGCACAUCCUUGAGGUCCUCCACCACAGCGUGACCUUGGGGAUCUCCAUGACGUCAUCGUCUUGCAGACCUCCAUGGUGCCGUGUCCUCAAGGGCCUCUGCAGUGGCCCCAGCCUUGGGGACGUCACCUCCCUGAGGACCUCCACGGUGCUGUGUUCUUGAGGACCUCCACGAUGUUGUGGCCUUGAGGUCCUCCGUGGCGCCAUGUCCUUGAGGUCCUCCAUGAUGUCAUAUCCUUGAGGACCUCCUUGAUGCCACGUCCUUGAGAUCCUCCACAGUGCCAUGUCCUUGAGGUCCUCUGCCGUGUUCGUGCUCUUGAGGACCUCCACAGUGCCACGUUCUCCACAGUGCCAUGGCCUUGAGGUCCUGCGUGGUGCCACGUCCUUGAGGACCUCCAUGGAGUCAUGACCUUGAGGUCCUCCAUGGCAUCAUGUCUUUGAGGUCCUCCAUGAUGCCAUGACCUUGAGGUCCUCCAUGAUGCCACGUCCUUGAGGUUCUCCAUGGAGUCAUGACCUUGAGGUCCUCCAUGAUGUUGUGACCUUGAGGUUCUCCAUGGAGUCAUCACCUUGAGGUUCUCCAUGGAGUUAUGUCUUUGAGGUCCUCCAUGGCAUCAUGACCUUGAGGUCCUCCAUAGAGUCAUGACCUUGAGGUCCUCCAUGGAGUCUUGACCUUGAAGUCCUCCAUGGUGCCACAUCCUUGAGGUCCUCCAUGGCGUCUUGUCUUUGAGGUUCUCCAUGGAGUCAUGACCUUGAAGUCCUCCAUGGUGUCAUGUUUUGAGGCCCUCCACGAUGUUGUGACCUUGAGGUCCUCCAUGAUGCCACGUCCUUGAGGUCCUCCACGAUGCCAUGACCUUGAGGUCCUCCAUGGUGCCACAUCCUUGAGGUCCUCCAUGGUGACAUGUCCUUGAGGACCUCCAUGGCAUCAUGUCCUUCAGGACCUCCAUGGCGUCGUGUCCUUGAGGUCCUCCAUGAUGUCGUGACCUUGAGGUCCUCCACGGUGCCACAUCCUUGAGGUCCUCCAUGGUGACAUGUCCUUGAGGUCCUCCAUGGUGUCUUGACCUUGAGGUUCUCCAUGAUGUAGUGACCUUGAAGUCCUCUACGGUGCCACAUCCUUGAGGUCCUCCAUGGCAUCAUGACCUUGAGGACCUCCAUGAUGUUGUGACCUUGAGGUCCUCCAUGGAGUCAUCACCUUGAGGUCCUCCAUAGAGUCAUGACCUUGAGGUCCUCCAUGCCGUCUUGUCUUUGAGGACCUCCAUGAUGUAGUAACCUUGAGGUCCUCCAUGAUGCCAUGUCCUUGAGGUCCUCCAUGGCGUCUUGUCUUUGAGGUUCUCCAUGGAGUCAUGACCUUGAAGUCCUCCAUGGCGUCAUGUCUUUGAGGUCCUCCAUGAUGUUGUGACCUUGAGGACCUCCAUGAUGUUGAGACCCUGAGGUUCUCCAUGGAGUCAUGACCUUGAGGUUCUCCAUGAUGCCACAUCCUUGAGGCCCUCCAUGAUGGAUGUCAUGACCUUGAGGUCCUCCAUGACGUCAUGACCUUGACGUCCUCCAUGGAGCCAUCACCUUGAGGUUCUCCAAGGAAGCGAUUCCCCCCCAACCCCCCCCAAUCCAACAACCAUCUUCCACUGUCUGUCAAUAUGUGUGUAUUUUUGGGAUAAGGAUUAGAUAAUCAUAAUAAACAUCGGUGUUGUUACUGGCC
rnacentral:lncRNA from 1 species